rnacentral:rRNA from 1 species
AACGAACGCUGGCGGCGCGCCUAAUACAUGCAAGUCGAGCGAGAAGACGUAGCAAUACGUUUGUAAAGCGGCGAACGGGUGAGGAAUACAUGGGUAACCUACCCUCGAGUGGGGAAUAACUAGCCGAAAGGUUAGCUAAUACCGCGUACGCUCCUUGGACUUCGGUUCAGGGAGGAAAGCGAUACCGUGGGUAUCGCGCUCUUGGAUGGGCUCAUGUCCUAUCAGCUUGUUGGUGAGGUAACGGCUCACCAAGGCUUCGACGGGUAGCUGGUCUGAGAGGACGACCAGCCAGAAGGGGACUGAGACACGG